AAACUGAGAAAAAUAGAGCAUUGGGAGGAAGAAUGUGUAGCAGCCCUUAUACGAGUUGUGUUGCAGCCAUGGAUCUGGGGCAUAGAUUGCUCCACAGUGUGUGGCAACGCAAUGAGGCGAGUGGCAGCAGCUGUCACAGCUGUGUUAAAUCGAAAAAGGGGGCGGUGUGGAAGGAGGAGCGAACAAAAUCUGACAGGAAGCAUUUUUGUGACAAGCGCACAAGUUUCACGCUUCAAUGUGCAACGGCUACACUGACAGCGGUAGCAGUUGGGUAAGCGAGAGGGAGA